UGGGGAAUAUUGGACAAUGGGCGCAAGCCUGAUCCAGCCAUGCCGCGUGAGUGAUGAAGGCCUUAGGGUUGUAAAGCUCUUUCGCCGGUGAAGAUAGUGACGGUAACCGGAGAAGAAGCCCCGGCUAACUUCGUGCCAGCAGCCGCGGUAAUACGAAGGGGGCUAGCGUUGCUCGGAAUCACUGGGCGUAAAGCGCACGUAGGCGGAUCGUUAAGUCAGGGGUGAAAUCCUGGAGCUCAACUCCAGAACUGCCCUUGAUACUGGCGAUCUCGAGUUCGAGAGAGGUUGGUGGAACUCCGAGUGUAGAGGUGAAAUUCGUAGAUAUUCGGAAGAACACCAGUGGCGAAGGCGGCCAACUGGCUCGAUACUGACGCUGAGGUGCGAAAGCGUGGGGAGCAAAACAGGAUUAGAUACCCUGGUAGUCCACGCCGUAAACGAUGGAUGCUAGCCGUUGGGGGGUUUACCUCUCAGUGGCGCAGCUAACGCCUUAAGCAUCCCGCCUGGGGAGUACGGUCGCAAGAUUAAAACUCAAAGGAA
rnacentral:rRNA from 1 species